GGCCUGGGAAAUCAUGAAGCUUCUUAUCCUUACCUGCCUUGUAGUGGCUGCUCUUGCCAGGCCUAAAUUUUCUGGUAGUAGACACCCAGAACUCAUUCAAAAUGAACCAGACAGCAGAGAGGAAACCCUCAAAGAAAGACAGUUUUCUAGGUUUGUUCUGCCUAUAGGAAGAGAAUUAAGAGAGGAAUACCAAAAUGAAAUGAACAGG